AGGAAAACUUACUGGUUGAAUCAUGAAUUUCCCAAUAAUAUAUACAUAUUUGGAUUCAUCUCGACGAGAGGAUCACGAAUGUGUAAUCAUCUGUUUUGCUCGCCCACCGAAAAUGGAGAAUAUAGCUGAAAAACACCACAAGUCACUGCCGAUGGCACAUGUGCAGCCUGACACCAAUUCUGGCAAUUUGUGUUAUUCAUUGGCAUUCCAUUUAUUAAUUUCUGCUAGAUGCUGGUACUAAUUGGAAAUCCAAGUAUACAAGCGAGUAUACAAGUAAGUAUACAAGUAAUCCAAGUAUACAGCGAGUGAAACAAAUGAUUACAUAUUCGUGAUCCUCUCAUCGAGACGAAUCCAAAUAUGUAUAUAUUAUUGGGAAAUUCGUG
rnacentral:lncRNA from 1 species